rnacentral:rRNA from 1 species
CCUACGGGGGGCAGCAGUGGGGAAUAUUGGACAAUGGGGGGAACCCUGAUCCAGCCAUGCCGCGUGUGUGAAGAAGGCCCUCGGGUUGUAAAGCACUUUCAGUGAGGAAGAACGCCUGGUGGUUAAUACCCAUCAGGAAAGACAUCACUCACAGAAGAAGCACCGGCUAACUCCGUGCCAGCAGCCGCGGUAAUACGGAGGGUGCGAGCGUUAAUCGGAAUUACUGGGCGUAAAGCGCGCGUAGGUGGCUUGAUAAGCCGGUUGUGAAAGCCCCGGGCUCAACCUGGGAACGGCAUCCGGAACUGUCAAGCUAGAGUGCAGGAGAGGAAGGUAGAAUUCCCGGUGUAGCGGUGAAAUGCAUAGAGAUCGGGAGGAAUACCAGUGGCGAAGGCGGCCUUCUGGACUGACACUGACACUGAGGUGCGAAAGCGUGGGUAGCAAACAGGAUUAGAUACCCGAGUAGUC